UCCCUUGUAGCUGAGUUGGUUAAGAAUCUGUCUGCAAUGCAGGAGACCUGGGUUCUAUUCCUGGGUUGGGAA
rnacentral:tRNA from 1 species